GAUGAAGAACGUAGCGAAAUGCGAUACGUAAUGUGAAUUGCAGAAUUCAGUGAAUCAUCGAAUCUUUGAACGCAUAUUGCGCUCUCUGGUAUUCCGGAGAGCAUGCUUGUUUGAGUAUCAGUAAACACCUCAACUUCCAUAUCUUUUUUUGAAAUGGGAGUUGGACUUGAGUGAUCCCAACGCUUUUCCUCACCGAAAAGUGGCGGGUUACUUGAAAUGCAGGUGCAGCUGGACUUUUCUCUGAGCUAUAAGCAUAUCUAUUUAGUCUACCUAAAAAACAGAUUAUUACCUUUGCUGCAGCUAACAUAAAGGAGAUUAGUUCUUGUGCUGACUGAUGCAGGAUUCACAAAGACAGCUUCGGCCGACUUUGUAAACUCGAUCUCAAAUCAAGUAAGACUACCCGCUGAACUUAAGCAUAUCAAUAAGCGGAGGA
rnacentral:misc_RNA from 1 species